GGUAAAAUGGCUGAGAUUAAAGGUAGUAGAUUGUAAAUCUAUUGAGGAGAAUUAUUUCUUUUUUGCCA
rnacentral:tRNA from 1 species